AUGGAGGGCUGGUUAAGUUUGUGUUUCAUAGCUCUAUGCACGCUUGUGGCCCUCUGGUUUCGCAAGCUCUCUGGGGGCAAGAGAAAGCCACAACUGCCUCCUGGGCCAUGGACUCUUCCCUUCAUCAAAAGCCUCCACCACGUCGCCAGCGUGCUCCCGCACCGCAAGAUGAUGGAGAUGUGUCGCCGGCAUGGGCCGCUGAUGCACCUUAUGCUCGGCGAGGUCCCAACGGUGAUCGUCUCCAGCGCCGAGGCGGCGGCGCUGGUGAUGAAGACCAACGACCUUGCCUUUGCUGGCCGGCCUCGCAGCGCGACGCUGGACAUCUUCGGCUGCGGCGGGAGGGGCAUCGUCUUCGCCCCCUACGGUGACCCAUGGCGCCAGAUGCGCAAGGUCUGCACCAUGGAGCUCCUGAGCUCCAAGCAGGUGAGGCGUAUGGACGGUAUCAGGCCAGACCAGGUGGGCAGCCUUCUCCAUUAUGUCGCAGACGCGGCAUCCAUGGGUGCCGUCGUCAACGUCAGCGAGAAGAUGAUGGCGCUCAGCAACGACGUGGUGUCGCGGGCGGUGUUUGGCGGCAAGUUCCCGCAGCAGGAGGAGUACCUCCGGGAGCUGGAUGAGGCGUUCGUGCUGCUAGGUGGUUUCUGCCUCGUCGACCUCUUCCCGUCAUCGCGGCUGGUGCGGUGGCUGUGCAAGGGAGAGCGCCACAUGAGGAGGAGCUAUGGCCACAUCCAACGUAUCAACGCCGACGUCAUCGAGGGGCAUAAGGCGGCGCGAGCUGCCACACAGGACGGUGCCUCCAGCACCGACGAUGAUGACUUGCUGGACGUGCUACUCAGGCUCCAGGAGAAGGACGCGUUCACAUUCCCUAUGACCACGGAGAGUAUAGGUGCCGUCUUAUUUGACAUAUUUGCAGGUGCCACACAGACCACGGGAGUUGCCUUGGAGUGGGCAAUGUCUGAGCUCGUCCGUCAUCCCGAAGCCAUGGCCAAAGCACAUAUUGAGAUCCGAGAGGUGCUAGGUCAAGGUCGAGCUGUGAUUACUAAUAGUGACCUCGCUGGACUCCAUUACAUGUGGAUGAUCAUUAAGGAGGUUCUUAGACUGCAUCCACCAGGUCCUUUGAUCCCCCGUAGGGCCAGGGAAGACCGUAAAGUUAUGGGUUUUGACAUGCUUUAA
rnacentral:rRNA from 1 species